GACGAACGCUGGCGGCGUGCUUAACACAUGCAAGUCGAACGGAAAGGCCCUGCUUGCAGGGUCCUCGAGUGGCGAACGGGUGAGUAACACGUGGGUGAUCUGCCCUGCACUUCGGGAUAAGCCUGGGAAACUGGGUCUAAUACCGGAUAGGAGCCAUUUUUAGUGUGAUGGUUGGAAAGUUUUUUCGGUGUAGGAUGAGCUCGCGGCCUAUCAGCUUGUUGGUGGGGUAAUGGCCUACCAAGGCGGCGACGGGUAGCCGUCCUGAGAGAGUGGACGGCCACAUUGGGACUGAGAUACGGCCCAGACUCCUACGGGAGGCAGCAGUAGGGAAUAUUGCACAAUGGGCGCAAGCCUGAUGCAGAGACGCCGCGUGUGGGAUGACGGCCUUCGGGUUGUAAACUCCUUUCGCUAGGGACGAAGCUUUUUGUGACGGUACCUAGAUAAGAAGCACCGGCUAACUACGUG
rnacentral:rRNA from 1 species